UGGUCUAGUGGUAUAAUGUCCCCCUUACAAAUAUGAGGUUGGGGGUCAAACUUCAAAUCCUUUCAAGUGCAAGAUAAAGGUGGAAUUAUGGUAUUAAAAAUUUGAUGUUCAAGGAAAAAAACUACUUGAUGUGCUAGGCAAAGUAGGUUACGAUGGAAGUGGAUAGUUAUGAAUAGUUAAAUGUGAAUUAUUUAAUUAUUAGGUGUGGUUAUCACGUUCUAAUUAACAAUCCUAAUUUUAGUCUAAUAGGUGUGUUUAGAUUAUAAAUAUUAUUGGGUAUUUUGGAUUGUAAUUUCAAGUUUUGAGUUGUUUCGUUUUUGGUGUUUAACCAAGGUAAAUGUAAUUUCGUUUCUGUUUCUGUUUUACACUGAUUCAAUCUGGAAUUGGUAUCAUAGCUUUGCUGUGAAUCGGAACAGCUGUCAGAAAUUAGUUACUUGCAAGGGAUUAAAAAAGAAGAUAAGAGAUUGUAGCAGCUUCUGUGAAGGCGAAGCUGUUGUUUUAGUUCUUAAACGAAUCAAAGGGGUAACUGGCUGGAAAAAACCGAACCAGUUACACCGGGAUCACCAUUGAUUACCUACAGUUGGAGGAAAAAGAUGGCCGAGGGCAAAGGGUUGGGAACACUUGCAAAUGUUAACCCAAAUACAACAUUGCUUUCAUGGCAUUUGGGAUGCUAUAGAACCGGGAACGGGGGUGGAUAUGAAGAAAAACAAUGUGGCAAAUUCAUUGUUGUUUUAGUCGAUACCUAUACCGGAAGAUCAGAUCUUUCAAGUUGAUAGUCUAAAAAUGGGGAAGGAGAUGUUGGAUGCAUUGAAGGCCCAACAUUUUGGUGCCGACCGGGUACGUGAAACAAGAGUUCAGACAUUCAUGACGGAAUUUGAGGUGGUGAAAAUGAAGGAUUCAAGUACAACUGAUGAAUAUUCUAGCACAUUAUUGGGAACCUCUUCAAAAGCAGUGUCUCUCGGGUUCGUAGUUGAAAAAGAAAGGACCCUGAAAAAGUUUCUUAGCAGGAAUACCAAGGUGUUUCAUUCAUAUGGUGGCCUCGAUUGAGCAACUUGUGGUUCUGAAAUCCAUUCCAUUCAAUAAUAUUGUUGGUCAGAUAAAGACCGUAUAAGAAACGUAUACAAGAUGAAGAAUCUGAGUCGGAUAAUUAAGGGUAGAAAAAUGGCGACAUCAAGACCUUCAAGAACGAGGGUUAGAAGAUAUGAAUUGGGAAUGACGCUUGGUGAAGGGACUUUCGAAAAUGUGAAGUUUGCUAGAAAUGUUGAAAAUGUGAGAAUUUUGCCAUCAAGAUUCUUGAUAAAGAGAAAGUUCUUAAGCAUAAGAUUAUCACCCAGGUAUAUGGUGUUAACCCUUUUGCGAAAUAUUAUUUGAUUAUUGUGUUUGGAGUUGCUUGUGUAACUUCUUAUUUGGAAAUUUGUAGAUCAAACAAGAAAUGUCGAUUAUGAUCCGUUCUUCCUGACGGAACCGUUGAUAUUUGUAAUUCCUAUGUUGUUCCACGCAAUGAAUCGUCUAA